rnacentral:rRNA from 1 species
AGAGUUUGAUCCUGGCUCAGAACGAACGCUGGCGGCGUGCUUAACACAUGCAAGUCGAACGCGAACGGUUUCUUCGGAAACUUAGUAGAGUGGCGCACGGGUGAGUAACGCGUAAGUAAUCUAUCCUGAUAUCUGGAAUAACACUCCGAAAGGUGUGCUAAUACCGGAUACGCUGACUUCGGUCAGGAAAGGUGGCCUCUUCAUGAAAGCUACCGUAUCAGGAGGAGCUUGCGUACCAUUAGCUAGUUGGUGGGGUAAUGGCCUACCAAGGCGACGAUGGUUAGCGGGUCUGAGAGGAUGAUCCGCCACACUGGAACUGAAACACGGACCAGACUCCUACGGGAGGCAGCAGUGAGGAAUCUUGCGCAAUGGGGGAAACCCUGACGCAGCCACGCCGCGUGGGUGAAGAAGGCCUUCGGGUUGUAAAGCCCUGUCAGGUGGGAAGAACCGCAAGGGGGCGAAUAGCCUCUUUGCUUGACGGUACCACCAAAGGAAGCACCGGCUAACUCCGUGCCAGCAGCCGCGGUAAUACGGAGGGUGCAAGCGUUGUUCGGAAUUACUGGGCGUAAAGAGCGUGUAGGCGGCUUGGUAAGUCAGAUGUGAAAGCCCUCGGCUUAACCGAGGAAGUGCAUCUGAUGCUGCCAGGCUUGAGUCCCGGAGAGGGUUGUGGAAUUCCCGGUGUAGAGGUGAAAUUCGUAGAUAUCGGGAGGAACACCUGUGGCGAAGGCGACAACCUGGACGGUGACUGACGCUGAGACGCGAAAGCGUGGGGAGCAAACAGGAUUAGAUACCCUGGUAGUCC